ensembl:ncRNA T06F4.12 ncRNA
AGUCGGGGCGGCUCAAGACGGCACAAAGUGCAAAAGUAGUCGAAGAGGCAAUCUGAUUCGUUUGCAUUGCAUCAAUUAUUCUUGCCGUUUCUGAGACCGCCUCUAGUGCCAACAUUCAAUAUCCACUUGUUCGGAUUGAAAACGU